AGACUUUCAACAACGGAUCUCUUGGCUCUCGCAUCGAUGAAGAACGCAGCGAAAUGCGAUAAGUAGUGUGAAUUGCAGAACUUUGUGAACCAUCGAAUCUUUGAACGCAAAUUGCGCCUUUUUCGGUAGGCAUGUCUGUUUGAGGGCACC
rnacentral:rRNA from 1 species